rnacentral:rRNA from 2 species
AGUCGAGCGGAUCUUCAUUAGCUUGCUUUUGAAGUUCAGCGGCGGACGGGUGAGUAACACGUGGGCAACCUGCCUGUAAGACUGGGAUAACUUCGGGAAACCGGAGCUAAUACCGGAUAAUCCUUUCCCUCACAUGAGGGAAAGCUGAAAGACGGUUUCGGCUGUCACUUACAGAUGGGCCCGCGGCGCAUUAGCUAGUUGGUGAGGUAAUGGCUCACCAAGGCAACGAUGCGUAGCCGACCUGAGAGGGUGAUCGGCCACACUGGGACUGAGACACGGCCCAGACUCCUACGGGAGGCAGCAGUAGGGAAUCUUCCGCAAUGGACGAAAGUCUGACGGAGCAACGCCGCGUGAACGAUGAAGGCUUUCGGGUCGUAAAGUUCUGUUGUCAGGGAAGAACAAGUACCGGAGUAACUGCCGGUACCUUGACGGUACCUGACCAGAAAGCCACGGC